ensembl:lncRNA
CGGAAGGGGUGAAGUCAGGAUCCAUCCCUUCCCAGACCUCAUUUAAGGGUUGGCAGUGUAGGUAUCCUACUAGAGAUCCCUGUGUGCCUGAGGCCUUCUGAAGGUGCUGUCACAGCAUUCAGACAUCAGCAUGAAGCUUGGGCAGCCUCAUCCAUAAGCUGUGGGCUCCUCAUGGGUGCUGCUGGCUAGGGGGGAGGUUUCCCUCUUUUGGGGCUGAUGGGAAGCGCAGCUGAUGCUUGCAGUGGAACUGGAAGAAAAUCAUGGUCCUGUGCACACAGGGGAUGGCCAGCUCUGUCACUAGAAACAUAAUCCCUCUUUUGGAACAAUGCUUCUGACAAGUGAAGUCAUCUUCAUCAUUAGUUUGGAUCAUGACAGAAGAAUAAACUUUCCAGAAGAUACUGCUUGUCCUUCACUUAUGUAGAGGUAUCUGUGCCAUGUGCUGCAUAAACAGGUAUGUCCUUUCCAUCUGCUGCUCACUGUAUGUGUGUUUUUGUAUUUGCCAAUUGCUAUUCCAACUCGUAUACAAAUAUGUUGAAAUCUCUUGGUAAUAGGCAGUCAUUGUGGAUUUGGGAAUCUUCACUUUGUGUUGAGGUUGAAAAUAUCACCAGGACAGGGUGUUUGGUGCUAGUUUGAGAUUCCUGUUUGCAGUGUCAUGAAAGUCAAGGGAGACAAAAUGUUAUCUGAUUCCUUUAUGCAUUUGGUUUGGGCCUGAGUAAAGGACUGAUAGCAUUCAGCAAUAUUUUAUGCUGCAGGAACUUUACUUUCCUAUUCAAAGGGUGGUCAGAAUUAGGAGCUGCUUCUCUUAACCACCCAUGAUUGAAUACCAUUAGUAUUUAAUACUGUAUUCAAUAUCAGAUAAUUGCUAACGUGUGCUAAACUACCGUCUUGACUUAUCCACAAGCAAUUAAUAAUAUUGAUCACCCUACAUUGACCUUGUGAGUUAAUAACUGUUUUUUUUCCUCUUGAUUUCCCUUGAUGAAUUGUGCUUUCUAAAUGCCAAUGUAUAGUUUUGUCAAGUUGUCAGUUUGCAGGGGCUACAGACAUGAAAUGUACCUUAGUGCUUGCUGGUAUGGCUACUUCUUUAGGAUCAAUAGCAAUACUUGUACCCAUGCUGAGGAAGAAAAUGUACUUUUUAAUAAAGUUUGACACAGAGAAAGCCUUUGAAACACUUUGAAAUCUGCACAGACUUCUGUGUAUUAAUCAAAUUACAUGAGAGCUGUUUAGGAUAUCUGGGUAAAGAUUUGGUCUUCGUUGCCCUGGGUUAUGUCUCUGGUAUAAGGCUGUGUGGUUUGUAGCUCCCAUCAUUCAUUCUGAUAGCAAAAUCAGAGUAGAGAUCUCACUCAAAUCUCCUGCCAAGUUCAUUUUUGUUGCUAAUUAUGUUUUUCUUUAGAUGGGCUGAGGAAAAUGAACAUUUGCUUUGUUUGCAGAAUCUGAAUCACAGUCAUCAGUGCAGUAAGACCAUUGUCACUGCAUUCGGUACUUGGAAAGAAAUGGGUUAAGAGAUAAAACCUGCAAUUAUGGAAUCACAAAACAGCCCGAGUUAGAUGGGAUCUUGAAAGAUCAUCAGCUCCAUGCUUUCACAGGAAAUGGGAGCAUCACUAAGAUUACCUAGCACCCUCUUCUAUUGCACCUUGAUACCACAUGCUUCCCUCUCUCAUCUCAUGGCUUUUAUUUAGUAAAAACCUCUGUUUGGUAUUAUGUUAACUAUUAUAUGCCUCUUUCCUUGCAAGGGUUGUUUAGUGGGGUUGUGCAUGGAACUUCUCUCUUAGGAGAGAUCCAUACCCACGCUUGAGAGGUGGGGGGACCCAAAAGUCACCAUCAUAGAGUUAAAAUGGGCCAGAACCAUCUUGCUCAAGUGUGACGUUACUCUUCCUUUUAAACUGGGACUUAUUGUCUUCAUUUAAUUAAAUUUUUACCCAAGUCACCUUAAUCUUUUCAAAAACCUUUGAUAGGAUACCAAAUAGACAGAUGAUUGGAACAAUUACCUUCUCAUCUAGGGGGACUGUUGUGGCCUUCUUGCUGUAGGUAUUCUAGACAGUACUGUCCUUGAACAAAUGAAAUAAUUUAGAUCUUGUUACCUUUUAUUUGUUGUCUGCCCUGUUUACCUAAUCCUCAUCUUGUUAGUGUUGUCUUUAUAAUGAAUAAACAGCGAUGUUCUUGUUUUGUAUUACAUUUUUCUCUUAAAAUUCUGUGGCACUAUGUACCUGUAUGCUCAUGUGCAAUCUUCUACACUGAAGUUAUCUGUUGAUAUCCCUGCCAGAAUAAUCACGAUGACUGCAGAGGUGGGAAACACAUUAUUUGCUGAAUUCUUUCCUGUCACAAUCUCUGAAACGGUCUCCUGCAGCAGAGAAUGAAAAUAAAUCUGAAAUGUCUUGGAGUGGCACUGCCAGCCUAGUGAGUAGCAUCACUAGAAAAAGCUUUGCAGAGCUGUAUUACCCAACAGACAAAGAGUGAGGGAGUUUUGGGGAAGAAAUACCACUUCUGUUUUCUUACAUCAGCAUUGAAGUCCACUGGCGGAGCAGUAUGUGGGGGGAAAAACAUGCUGAUAAUGUCACUGCUACAUACAGGAAAUGGGGCAUGCUGUCAUGUGAUGGCAACCACCAGCAGUGCUCUCUAGCACUGACUUGAUGCCCCAUAGAUGCUUGUAUCCAGCCCUCUCCUCUUGGACAACUGGCAUCAUCUUAAGACUUCUUAUCUUUGUUAAAAAAAAAAAAAAAGUAGCUUGACAAACCAUUCAAACACUGCCUCUUCCCUGCCUUUGUACUUGUUUAUUCCCUCCUCAUUGUGUUUUUAGCUAAAGCAGAUUAUUGCAAAAUCCAUUUAAAAAACAGGGUAGUUUUAUACUGAAAGAUAUCUAGAGGGCAGCAAAUCCAGAGGGAAAUCUCAUCCUUCAGUGCAAACAAAACCUCCUCUUCUAUUUUAUUUCUGAAAAAAUCAAGCACAGUUAUGUAAAACCUUGUAUUUCUCUAUACGAAACAGCAAUCGUAAGAUAUCUCUAUAAGGCUGAGCUAUGAACAUAACUAGGAGCAAACUUGUAAUUUGAUUAAUGAUUACUGUGGUGGGCAAGGACUCUGAAGUUCAGGUGUGAGUUACGAAGAAACUGCUCUGCCAUCUAAAAUCGCAUCUGAAAGCAAAUGUAUUUUUAGCGUACUGCUGUGUGGUGUGGAAUGUUCCUGAGUUAUUUGUUCAUAAUUGUAGUGAUUGUGGAGAAUAUAUUUAAUAAUAAUUUGACAUUUAAUUCAAUGUUAUGUAGUGCUUCUGAUUGCAGUUCUGUCAUUCUUUGUGCUUUGUUCAAGUUGUAUCUGGCUAAACAGUAGGUGGG